rnacentral:tRNA from 1 species
AUUAGGGUGGCAGAGUCAGGUAAUUGCCCAGGGCCUAAGCCCCUGGAUCAGAAGGUUCAACUCCUCUCCCUAAUA